rnacentral:rRNA from 1 species
AUUGAACGCUGGCGGCAUGCCUAACACAUGCAAGUCGAGCGGAGCGUCGGACGGGUGAGUAAUGCCCCGGUAUCUUCCUUGCCGCGGUGGAUACCGUCCCCAAUCGGCCGCUAAUACCGCAUCCUAUCCGAUGUGCCUCGGUCGGAUUAGCUAGUUGGUGGGGUAAAGGCUUACCAGGGCGACGAUCCGUAACUGGUCUGAGAGUAUGAUCAGUCACACUGGAACUGGGAAACGGUCCAGACUCCAACGGGGGGCAGCAGUGGGGAAGUUUGGACAAUGGGCGAAAGCCUGAUGCAGCCAUGCCGCGUGUGUGAAGAAGGUCUUCGGAUUGUAAAGCACUUUAAGUGGGGAGGCGUUACCAACAGAAUAAGCACCGGCUAACUACGUGCCAGCAGCCGCGGUAAUUC